UGGGCAACCUGCCCCUCUCUCUGGGAUAACCCCCGGGAAACCGGAGCUAAUACCGGAUACUCCGGCUGGAUCGCAUGGUCCGGCCGGGAAAGGUCCGCCGGAGAGGGAUGGGCCCGCGGCCUAUCAGCUUGUUGGUGGGGUCAUGGCUCACCAAGGCGACGACGGGUAGCUGGUCUGAGAGGACGGCCAGCCACACUGGGACUGAGACACGGCCCAGACUCCUACGGGAGGCA
rnacentral:rRNA from 1 species